rnacentral:rRNA from 1 species
GAGUUUGAUCAUGGCUCAGAUUGAACGCUGGCGGCAUGCCUUACACAUGCAAGUCGAACGGCAGCAUGGGUGCUUGCACCUGGUGGCGAGUGGCGAACGGGUGAGUAAUACAUCGGAACAUGUCCUGUAGUGGGGGAUAGCCCGGCGAAAGCCGGAUUAAUACCGCAUACGAUCUGAGGAUGAAAGCGGGGGACCUUCGGGCCUCGCGCUAUAGGGUUGGCCGAUGGCUGAUUAGCUAGUUGGUGGGGUAAAGGCCUACCAAGGCGACGAUCAGUAGCUGGUCUGAGAGGACGACCAGCCACACUGGGACUGAGACACGGCCCAGACUCCUACGGGAGGCAGCAGUGGGGAAUUUUGGACAAUGGGCGAAAGCCUGAUCCAGCAAUGCCGCGUGUGUGAAGAAGGCCUUCGGGUUGUAAAGCACUUUUGUCCGGAAAGAAAUCCUUGGUUCUAAUAUAGCCGGGGGAUGACGGUACCGGAAGAAUAAGCACCGGCUAACUACGUGCCAGCAGCCGCGGUAAUACGUAGGGUGCAAGCGUUAAUCGGAAUUACUGGGCGUAAAGCGUGCGCAGGCGGUUUGCUAAGACCGAUGUGAAAUCCCCGGGCUCAACCUGGGAACUGCAUUGGUGACUGGCANGCUAGAGUAUGGCAGANGGGGGGUAGAAUUCCACGUGUAGCAGUGAAAUGCGUAGAGAUGUGGAGGAAUACCGAUGGCGAA